rnacentral:rRNA from 1 species
AUUGAACGCUGGCGGCAUGCCUUACACAUGCAAGUCGAACGGCAGCACGGGAGCAAUCCUGGUGGCGAGUGGCGAACGGGUGAGUAAAGUAUCGGAACGUGCCCAGUCGUGGGGGAUAACGUAGCGAAAGUUACGCUAAUACCGCAUACGAUCUAUGGAUGAAAGCGGGGGAUCGCAAGACCUCGCGCGAUUGGAGCGGCCGAUAUCAGAUUAGGUAGUUGGUGGGGUAAAGGCUCACCAAGCCGACGAUCUGUAGCUGGUCUGAGAGGACGACCAGCCACACGGGGAGUGAGAGACGGCCCAGGCUCGUACGGGAAGCAGCAGUGGGGAAUUUUGGACAAUGGGAGAAAGACUGAUCCAGCCAUACCGCGUGCAGGAUGAAGGCCUUCGGGUUGUAAACUGCUUUUGUACGGAACGAAAAGGUUUGGCCUAAUAAGCUGAGCUCAUGACGGUACCGUAAGAAUAAGCACCGGCUAACUACGUGCCAGCCGCCGCGGUAA